GCUCGGUAGGGAGAUGGCAUUCCUCCCGGAAUAAGAACCGCCUGAAAUGGCUGAUGAUGCCUACUGUGUC
rnacentral:ncRNA from 2 species